UGGACAGAUUAUUGUAUUCGACUGUAUUCACGGCGUGAAACAGGGGAUUACACUAUUUUUAAAUGAAAAGUGAAUCAAUUAACAUAAUAGACUCCU
rfam:Nicotiana attenuata strain TT chromosome 5, whole genome shotgun sequence.